UACGGAGGGGACUAGCGUUGUUCGGAAUUACUGGGCGUAAAGCGCACGUAGGCGGAUUUGUAAGUCAGGGGUGAAAUCCCGAGGCUCAACCUCGGAACUGCCUUUGAUACUAUUAGUCUUGAAUGUUGUUGAGGUGGGCGGAACGGGUCAUGUAGCGGUGAAAUGCAUAGAUAUGACCCGGAACACCGAUUGCGAAGGCAGCCCGCUAAGCAACUAUUGACGCUGAGGCACGAAAGCGUGGGGAUCAAACAGG
rnacentral:rRNA from 1 species